CUGUCACACAUGAAAAGCAGCCUUUCGACUCGCAUGUAGCAAGCUCCAACAGAAACUUUGUGACAUCCAGAACAAGUGGUGGAUCAAUCUAGCAGAAAAAAUUCAAUUACGUGCAGAUACAAAUGACUACAGGG